CCUACGGGAGGCAGCAGUGGGGAAUAUUGCACAAUGGGCGCAAGCUGAUGCAGCAACGCCGCGUGAGGGACGACGGCCUUCGGGUUGUAAACCUCUUUUAGCAGGGAAGAAGCGAAAGUGACGGUACCUGCAGAAAAAGCACCGGCUAACUACGUGCCAGCAGCCGCGGUAAUACGUAGGGUGCAAGCGUUAUCCGGAAUUAUUGGGCGUAAAGAGCUCGUAGGCGGUUUGUCGCGUCUGCUGUGAAAACUGGGGGCUCAACCCCCAGCCUGCAGUGGGUACGGGCAGACUAGAGUGCGGUAGGGGAGAUUGGAAUUCCUGGUGUAGCGGUGGAAUGCGCAGAUAUCAGGAGGAACACCGAUGGCGAAGGCAGAUCUCUGGGCCGUAACUGACGCUGAGGAGCGAAAGGGUGGGGAGCAAACAGGCUUAGAUACCCUGGUAGUCCACCCCGUAAACGUUGGGAACUAGUUGUGGGGUCCAUUCCACGGAUUCCGUGACGCAGCUAACGCAUUAAGUUCCCCGCCUGGGGAGUACGGCCGCAAGGCUAAAACUCAAAGGAAUUGACGGGG
rnacentral:rRNA from 1 species